UAAACUUGUCAUACAUAAGGUGUCUUCAGGGCUGCCAUCAGAAAUUUUGGGGCCCCUUACAAAGCUCAAGGCCUGGGCCCCCCUCCUACCCCGCCCCUUUAGAAUCUUUCCUGACUCCGCCUCCCGGCCCCCCUCCACCCCCAA